AACUAAUGCAAGUCAGGAUUGACUGCAAUUUUUUUUUGUCCAUCUUAAUGUGCAGGUGAGAAGGCAAACCUUGCAAUGUGGUGUUUGAUUCCAGAAAGCUGUUCCCUCUGAUAGGCCCAGCUUCAGACAUUGCAAUCUACACCAGGAUUCCUUGAAACGGGGUGAAAAGUUGGCCUGUCAACGUGCCAGGGUCAUGCUGAGCAUCCACAUGGAGCCAGAGCUGCUUGGACAGUCCGGCAGCACUCUUCUUUGGUACUUACUGUCCUUCUGACACAUUAAAUGAUGGAUGAUGCUUGGAAAGUCCAGCACUCUUCUUUGGUGUUUACCAUCUCUCUGACUCUUUAAAUGAUGGAUGGUCUCCUUCUUAG
rnacentral:lncRNA from 1 species